rnacentral:tRNA from 1 species
GCUAACGUAGCUUAAUUCAAAGCGCAACACUGAAGAUGUUGAGAUGGGCCCUAAAAAGCCCCGCAGACA